CAUGUAGGCGGACUUUUAAGUCUGGCGUGAAAAUGCGGGGCUCAACCCCGUAUGGCGUUGGAUACUGGAAGCCUUGAGUGCAGGAGAGGAAAGGGGAAUUCCCAGUGUAGCGGUGAAAUGCGUAGAUAUUGGGAGGAACACCAGUGGCGAAGGCGCCUUUCUGGACUGUGUCUGACGCUGAGAUGCGAAAGCUAGGGUAGCAAACG
rnacentral:rRNA from 1 species